UCCCUUUUUUUGUCUGUCACAUUCAAUACUUAGGAAUAAUAUAUUUUUAAAAGACAUUUCUAGCCAUUAACAAACUAUGGCUUAGGGAUAGAAUUAGGUUACGCAAAAGUAAAAUGAAAUUUUAUGUGUCUGUUAACAUAAUCAUGAUUCCCUUAAACUAUGUCUGCACUGGAAUUUUGUUACCAGUUACCAAAAUAUUACUGUAUUAUUCAUUAUUGAAAUCCUUGUGUUAUGCUAUGAUUGUAUUUCUAAAAAGCAUUUUAUAAAUUGAUUUUCACUAUAUCUAGCCCUAAAUACUACUAAGGACAUUUAAAAUUUAAAACAUUCCUGUAGAGAAUUUUGUUAUAGGUUUCAAUGUAGUAACUUCAGUCUUUUUGAAGAACAGAUUUUCUUUAUAUACUAUUCAUUUUUCAUUUUCUCUCCUGCUGAUUUUACAUUAAUUGCAAAGCAUUUAUUUCACUACUGUUUGUGAAAUGAUGCUGUCUUUUUCUUUAUUAGGUUCAUAAGGAAAUGGAUUACUUUAUAAAAGAUAAGUUGCUUCUUGAAAGAAUUCUUGGAAUGGAAUUCAUGGAACCAAUGGAAAAAAGCAUCUUUUACAAUGGUAUCUUCUAAAUCCCUUUGUAGAACUUGAUAACUGUUUUCAAAGUUUGAGAAAAAAGUGCUUGUAGAUAUUUUUCUUUUUUUCUUUUUUUUUUUUUUUUAGACGGCG
rnacentral:lncRNA from 1 species